UACAGAGGGGGGCAAGCGUUGUUCGGAAUUACUGGGCGUAAAGGGCGCGUAGGCGGCCUUCUAAGUCGAACGUGAAAUCCCCCGGGCUCAACCCGGGAACUGCGUCCGAUACUGGAAGGCUUGAAUCCGGGAGAGGGAUGCGGAAUUCCAGGUGUAGCGGUGAAAUGCGUAGAUAUCUGGAGGAACACCGGUGGCGAAGGCAGCCCCCCUGGGCCUGCACUGACGCUCAUGCACGAAAAGCGUGGGGA
rnacentral:rRNA from 1 species